rnacentral:rRNA from 1 species
UACGUAGGCAGCGAGCGUUGUUCGGAGUUACUGGGCGUAAAGCGUGCGUAGGCGGUGUUCCAAGUCUGUUGUGAAAUCUCCCGGCUUAACCGGGAGGGUGCGGCGGAAACUGGGAUGCUGGAGUGCGGGAGAGGUAAGCGGAAUUCCCGGUGUAGCGGUGAAAUGCGCAGAUAUCGGGAGGAACACCAAUGGCGAAGGCAGCUCGCUGGGACGUGACUGACGCUGAGACGGCGAAAAGCGUGGGGAGCA